GGAGCGAACGCUGGCGGCAGGCUUAACACAUGCAAGUCGANCGGGCGUAGCAAUACGUCAGCGGCAGACCGGGUGAGUAACGCGUGGGAACGUACCUUUUGGUUCGGAACAACACCAGGGAAACUUGUGCUAAUACCGGAUAAGCCCUUACGGGGAAAGAUUUAUCGCCGAAAGAUCGGCCCGCGUCUGAUUAGCUAGUUGGUGAGGUAACGGCUCACCAAGGCGACGAUCAGUAGCUGGUCUGAGAGGAUGAUCAGCCACAUUNGGACUGAGACACGGCCCAAACUCCUACGGGAGGCAGCAGUGGGGAAUAUUGGACAAUGGGCGCAAGCCUGAUCCAGCCAUGCCNNNUGAGUGAUGAAGGCCCUAGGGUUGUAAAGCUCUUUUGUGCGGAAGAUAAUGACGGUA
rnacentral:rRNA from 1 species